UGGGUUGUUUCUCUUGUGCGAGCGUGGGCCUGGCAGAGUUUUUGUCUGCCAUGUUCUCUUGUUUAAUAGUAGUGUAGAUUAAAGAGGGUACUUUCUUACUUGCUGAUCACUGAAUGCGUGAGUGAUCAUUAUUAUGUUGGAUUGGUAGAUGUUGUUUGAUGCCAUAAAAAGGCUCUGUACCUGAAUCAACUAUAGAGUGCCCAAAGAAAGAAGAAAUAAACACUUUUGAUAAUUUAGCACCAUUAAAAAAUCGAUGAACUAACCUUUUUUUAAAGACUCUUCUGGGAUAUGUAGGUCAGCGAUUCUACUGAGUUGGGGGUUCUCAAACAGUUUGACAUUUGGCUUGGUGAGGCUUUUAGGUGAGGUCAGUACCAUGUGCAUUUGCCAAGGCUUCAUGGUACGAUUUCAGGUUUAGGUC